AUUGAACGCUGGCGGCAUGCUUUACACACGCAAGUCGAACGGCAGCGCGGGCUUCGGCCUGGCGGCGAGUGGCGAACGGGUGAGUAAUGCAUCGGAACGUGCCCAGUAGUGGGGGAUAGCCCGGCGAAAGCCGGAUUAAUACCGCAUACGACCUGAGGGUGAAAGCGGGGGACCGAAAGGCCUCGCGCUAUUGGAGCGGCCGAUGUCGGAUUAGCUAGUUGGUGGGGUAAAGGCUUACCAAGGCGACGAUCCGUAGCUGGUCUGAGAGGACGACCAGCCACACUGGGACUGAGACACGGCCCAGACUCCUACGGGAGGCAGCAGUGGGGAAUUUUGGACAAUGGGGGCAACCCUGAUCCAGCCAUGCCGCGUGCGAGAAGAAGGCCUUCGGGUUGUAAACCGCUUUUGUUCGGGAAGAAAUCCUCUGGGCUAAUACCCCGGGGGGAUGACGGUACCGGAAGAAUAAGCACCGGCUAACUACGUG
rnacentral:rRNA from 1 species